CUAUCAGUUGUUAAAGCCACCGUUUCUUUUUCAGAUGAUUACAUGUUUGUCUCUUGCUCUUUGGUUUCAGACAUUACACAAUGAUCUGCUUUCUGGAAACAUCCGCUCCGGCAGGAUGUUUCUUUGGAGGAAACCUGCCACCUCACUCCGGCUCAAGCAGCAUCUGAAGAUAAGGACACUAUGUUGGAGUGAGCAGCGCAUAAGUAAAAAUGCCAUCCAUCAUGAGUAUUUUUGCCUUCAGAGGUGUUACAUUUGAAAGCUGUUUACUUUCUAUGUUUUUCUUCAAUAGAUCUUCAAGCUCCUGCGGUUACAACGACCAUAUCUGACAACAUCAAGAGAGGCGAGAUUCACUUGCUAGAUUUUGUCUUUGAUGUCAUGCUCCCAGAGGUGAGUAGAUCAAACUAUAUAGCUUGCUUUGAAAAUUGAUGAUAUUGUCAAGAGGUUGUUUUUAUUCAUUUGGAAAGCUCAAGAGCAACAAUUAACCCAUACUGCAUAACUUCAAAUAUUCACAUUAUUUGACUGUUUAUCAGCUUUUGAUCAAAGAACUUCAAGAGCAUGGCAUCACCCGACUCAGGGCGGAGCAGAUGAUGACCUGUGGCAGUCUAUUUUAAGCCCCCCAUCACACACAGACAGCAACGCUCUCAAUUAUGGGAUGUGGAAGCCUG